CAAAUGAAUGGGCCGAAUUCUUUAAUAAUGGUAGCCUAUCAUCUGACCUAAUAACACUAGCCAUCUCAUUAUCGAUUUUGUUUUCUUGCCGCACAAGCUUUUGCCACCGCUGUUGCGCUACUUGACGCGGCUCCUUGGUUGUCAAUAUCAAUUCAACCCGCGAAAACUGCCACCGCCUUGAUUCGUUUCCGUUUGAUGGACAUAAAACUUAAAUAAUUUUUCUCUGUUCCGCAAAUAAGGUCGCCUACUCGUCCAAGACAAAUUGUUUUGCUUUGCUUACUUAUAAGGUAAUCUGGGAUUUCAGUGAGGUGCGUUAGGAAGUUGAUGACCAAGAUUCUUUAUUUCAGUAAUGUAAUAAAUGUCAUUAGGAUCUUUUUAUUUAAUGUUAUGGAUUAGUUUUAGUUUUGAUAUCUGUAAGAGUGACACGUCUGCCCUAGCGGGUUUGGGGUGUUACAAUUAUGGUAUCAGAGCGAAGGCUCUUUCCUGUAGAAAACUUAAAUCUUAAAAAGUAAACUUGUGAGUUAAUGGGUAGACGUUGGGUUAGGAUUAUACCUUUUGAUUAAUCUGCCUACUCUUCAUUUU